CAGUGCUCACUUUGGCAGCUCACUCAUAUACUAAAACUGGAAUGAUACAGGGAAGAUGAUCAUGGCCUCUGUGCAAGAAUGACAUGCAAAUGUGUGAAGUGAUCCAUAUUUUA
rnacentral:snRNA from 1 species